UCCAAGGGCAGAGCCCACUGCUUUCCAGUCAUCUCCCAUGUCCUGGUCUCACUGACUUCCAGGGGUGAAGUGCCCAUUUCCAAAUUCCAGUGUAUGGCCCAAGGAAGCUGAAACUUAGUCCAUUCCCUCCUCAUCCCAGUGCAGUCCUGGCGCAGUGUACCUGAGAGUUUAGUAUGGCUCCUGCUAUUGUCUCCUCUCCAGAGCCUAUUGUCUUGUGCAAUGGUUUUGCACCAACUCCAGGCGUGUCCCUGUCUGAGCAGGAAGGUAUCUGGUUCAUUUGAGGACUCGGAAUUUCCAGUCAGCCCAGUAUUUGAGAGCAGACCUGGAGAAGAAGAUUGGCCUGUUACUACGUAGGCACUCUGAGGAGAGAUGCAACUGCUGCAUAAAAGGUCUUCUGGCAAUAAGGAAAAAAUUUAGGAACCUGGGGAUCUUGGAAGCUGUUACUGGAGCAAUGGUAAUGAGGAUUCAUCUUAAUGGCACUAGAGGAUUGAUUCUGCUUUAUCUCCUCUCUUUGUUUCCCUUUUCCUUUUUUUUUUUUUUCUGUUUAUGCUAUUAUUUAUAUGGAGAGUUCAUUUAUAUCAUUCCAUGUUCAAGGUAAGCUCUGGUAUGUGAGAUCUUUAUCAGUGCUAACUCAGGAAAAUCUGUUUAUGAGCAGAGUAAGAGCAAAACAAAGAGGGUAUCUGAUUCCCUAUUUGAGAUUCCUGAUGUCCCUGGUGACAGAAAUCUACAUGCAUUGGUGGGUAGCCUUCGUGUUUCCCAUCCCAGACGUGCUUUUAAUAUCACCAUUUCCAUUCAGAGUAUUCAGUCUUGUUCCUUAUUGAAUCUAAUAUUUUUAUGUUAGCAGUAGGAGGUGUGAAGCUGAAAUGACGUGUUCUGGGUGAAUAACUAGCUUUGAGAUCAUCAAGCCAUUGAGGGUGAGAUAUGAAUUUAUCUUUUAAAUUCAAGAUUUAAUAAGUAAACAUGUGAAUAAUAACCAGGGACUUUAAGAGAGAGAUAACAGCCUGGCAGAGGGCUAAAAUUGAUACAAUUCUCCCUCUGUACUAUUCUAAGUCCCACUAGGAAAUAUGUGUGGCUGCAGUUAAAAAAAACAAUCCCCAGGCCUGGUCAGUGACAUCUUUUCCUUAUUUAGUCAGAGAUUCUGUUAAUAUAUUUAAUGACAGGCUACAUAUUCAAGGUAAACCAAGUAAUAAUGGGGACCCUAAAAUUUGCCAAGGAGAGCUGUAUAUAAAGUUGGUGUGCGAAAAGAAGAUGAGUUUAAAUUAGCAGAAUAUGAUCCUUAGUGGCUUCAGAGACCAGAAAUUCACCUCUACUCCUCAAUGGACUCUGCUCCCAUUGCCCUUAUAGGUUUACUCUAAAAGCUUCCAAAAGUCUAACACUUAGUUUCUGUUCCCAUGAUAUCUUGAGGCUGAAAACUGCAAGAAUAGGAAAAACAUCAAGGUGAACAUCCUCAAACUCCUGAAAUCUCUGAGAAAGGAAAAUCUUGUAAACUCAAUUAAGACUAGGGCUUUUAGGAUUGCAAAUGAAAUUGUGUGGAAGUUCCAAAUUACCCCAGUCAGAAAUAAUUAAAACAGAGAAAGUAAUUCUUCAUGAAUGGGCCUGAAAGCUAUAAAGGAGGUAUGGCCUCCUAUCUCUAUUAUUUUUAUUUUUGCCAUCUUGCCUAAUCCUUUGCAUCCUUAUUUAGAAAAUUGGGCUGAUAUUAUAUUCCUAAUAUGACUAUAGAUCAGUUAAAAGGGAACACAAUAAGGACUUACUAAAUGGUAGCUAUUCAUAUUAACUUAUUUCUUACAACUAUAAAGGAGACUAUGAGAAACUCAAGAGAAAACAGAGAUAAAAAUAAACUUUCUUUUUCUAUUAGUUUACCUGUAAGUGUUUCUUCUUUUACUCAGGAACCACUCUCUUUUUUUGUAUGUAUUAAAGUUCUGGUGUUAAUUGGAAGAUUUCAUUAUACUGAUUAUACAUUUAAGGUAAAUCUGGGUGUGGCUACAAGGGAAACAGAUCAGUGUAAACAGGUAAUGGUCUAAAGUGAGGAUAAUUUGUUCUAAAGUUGGGGAAUGCCAUUUCCCUUCUUAAAAUCCCCGAUGUCUUACUAUUGCUACGAGAGUAUCAGUGCAUUUAGAAUAAAAUGUUUUUAAAAGAAAAACCUUUAUAAUUCUUAAACAUGGUCUACAAAGCACAGGGGAAUCAGGCUUCUGCCAUUCUCUCCAAUGUCAUGUUGUUCCACCCUUGUUUUUUAAAUUCUAAAAUAAUGAGCUUUCUUUGAGUGUCUCCAGUGCUUGAAGAUCUGUUAUACAUUAUUCCCAUUAAGGAGAAUGCUCUUUUCCUGAGCUUUGCAUCUGCCUCAUCUUCAGCUUAACUAUGAUUUCUCAAGGAUGCAAUUCUUUUACCCUUCCCUACUGAUUAAAAUUGCUUCCUCUUGUUACUUUCUCAUUGCAUUUUGUUCUUUUCCUCAAAUUUAAGAUUCUGAGUGUGUGUAGAUACGUGUGCAUGUGUGUGUUGUUUUAGUUGUUUUCUCUACCUCAGCAGACUGUGAACUUCGUAGGGUAGCAUCUAUGUCUUUUCAUUCUCCACUGUCUGGCUAGUAAAAGGCCUGGCACAUAUCAGAUUUGCAAUAAAUAUUUCUGAAGUGAAUGAAUGAUCAAGUGUGAUUGGAAUGGCAUUCCCUAAAAUGAAAUUAGAUCUGUGCAUAGUGUACUCUUCUCUGUGAGAGCAGUGUUACUGAUUGGAAAGGUAUGUCAGAGAAGCAGAAUGGAAUAAAAAAAUAGGUUAAUAAGUU